AAAAGAUACUUUCAAAUCUGUGGGGGGAAGGUUUUUGUUUUUGAGUUCCUUAGUUCUCUCCCAGUCAGCGAGGAGCCAGGGCAGGAAAAAUACAUCUCCCUAAGCCUUAUCUGAACUAAGCAUCUAAUAUUACAGAAAUAGUAAGUAAUAGCAAGAAAAUGCGUUAGAUUAUCUUUUGUUUUAGCUUGUGAAUUCUUCCUGUGCUAAAAGGAAGGUUUAUCCCUGUUUUUGUAACUUUAAAGUUUUGCCUACAGAGAAAAUCCUCUGUCUUUAAAAUCUUUCUGUUACCCUAUAAAGUUAUCUUCCAUCCUAAUUUUACAAAGGUGAUUCUUUUAUCUUUUUUUAAAUAAACUUCUUUUAAUACCCUGAUUGUUUUUCAGUGUCCUAAAAACCCAGGCGGGUUGAUCUGUGCUCACUUUGUAAUCAAUUGGUUAGGAUAGGAAGGAAUUUGUGCCUUGGAAAAGUUUUGUUACCUGUAGUAGCAAAUUUGUGCCUUGGAAAAGUUUUUAACCUGGUAGAAAUAAGCUUAGGGGGUCUUUCAUGUGGGUCUCCACAUCUGUUCCCUAGAGUUUAGAGUGGGGAGGAAACCCUGACAGGGUGUAUUACUAUUAACUUCAGUGUGAGCAGAGUUAAGAGCACCGACUGGAAAAUCCCACUGCACGAGUACUAAUACCCCGCUCCAAACUUUCAAAACUUAGAAAAUUUUGUGCCGAUAGAAAGAUCUUCAGGCAGUGAGAACAUGCUGCAGUAACAGCCACAUGCUAGAGCAUACCCUGAAUGAUUCAUUGUUUGCCAUCAUGUUGACUCUACAUGGUAACUGUUUUCCAGAAAGCCAUGACCGCACUGGAUCUGGAAAUAAGUUUGCCAGUGUUCUGGAGAAAAUGGCUCCAAAGAAAAAAAAAUUGGCCCAGUACACUAAUUGGAUAUACCUGAUAAAAAGGAAGGUUCAAGGAGAGAUGUGGUGGGAAAAAGGGAACCUGAAGAAAGCAACACAUCAGUAGAUUAAUCUGAUGUCUGAAGAGAUGUUGGUUUCUUCAGUUCUUGUUGUAUGUAUAUACUCUUGUACUGCAAGUCAGAUUCCUUCUGCUUUUGCUUUGAACUGUAAAGUGGAAAGUUGCAAGUAAAUAUACUAUUUACUUCUCAAAGUAGAUAUAGAUAUUUAUACUCUUCUUUUCUCUUGCAAAUUGUAUUAUGUCAGCACAGAUAAAUAGGAACCUGACUAACUGUUGUGCAAACCAUAUCCUCCUAUAUUUUAUAUCUAUAUUAGCGUAAUGCACGUUAAUUUUUGGUGAGUGAUUGUUUCUCAGGGGAGUUGAUGAUAGAUUCCAUCCAAUAACCAAAACACAAUGAAUGCCGUAAUUUUGGACAUUAUAACAAUUAAGAUAAAAUCUAUUUAUCAGUAAAACCAUAUUUCUAUAUCAGUGCUACAGACCAUGUGAUGACUGAAAACUUAUAUCGAGCAACCUGAGUAGCUGUGUUAGUAGCUGUGACAGUCUCUCUCCCAGGCAAGCCCCACAGGAGAAGGAUGCUAUGGGGCAUUUCACCAAGCAGUUGAGCCUCCAAAAGAUCAGUUAGGAUUAGAGAUGGGGAGCAAGCAGUGAAAUCCUACAGAGAGUUUUCUGUGUGUUGUUUGGGGCCAGCUAGGAAGCCUCAGUGUCUAGGCUGUUUGUAGUUUUUCCACUGGGAGGUGAGGAAGUUUUUCUUCUUGUGGGCAAAAAUACUCAGUUUAUUUCCUGCUUUUAACCAGAAUGUGUGAAGUACUGUACAAAGCUCAAGAGAGAGCCUUCUAGUGUGGUUGAUUGGAGGUAGAUAUCUAACCAGUAAUGACCAAUUUAUGGAAACAUGGUCUUAACUAACAAGCUGUUUACUUAGCAUAUUUAAGGAAUCAUUACAUACAGUAACUUCCUCAGCCCUUUUGCCAUAAUGCUCUGUUCUCAUAAAGAGCUCCAAGUCCAUUGUCUGUGAACAUAGACAAUACACUUAAAAACAAUUAUAAUUAACCUUCUUCUUAAGAACAAUUAUAUUCAACAACAAACAAAAAAAACUAAACAGACUUCCUUGCCCCAGAGUCGUCAGGCUCAUAAUCAUGUUCCAAAAUGGGUUUUAACUUGGCUUCUUCUGGUUGUUUCUGUGCCUCCUCUCGCCUGCUCCCAUCUCUCAAAAGUGGAACCAAGGUCUUCCAGUUUUUCCCUGAAACUUAUAAGCAAAGUGGCUAUUAAUGUUUUUUUCCUAUAGAAACAGACCAGAAUAUUCCUGGUUUCCAACACAGAGGAAAGCUGAUAUGAUAUAAAGCACAAGUGAAGAUUUUAUUCUUUUAAGAGUUUUAUUCUUCUGUCAGUUUUCCAUUCUUUUAAGCUGACAAGUACACCCACUGAUCUAUGAACUGGGGCUCUUCUGUGCUGACUAGUGAGCUACUGCACUGUGGGGUUGGGGCAUGACAGGGUGACUCCUGUGGUACACUGCUGCCAAGGUGUGCCGGUCAUUACCAUAGAAACAUCCAGAGUGAGGAACUGGAGGGAGCUAGAGAAUUCCAAAGAAUAAAACUGCAAAAUGAAUAAAGGGUUAGUUCA
rnacentral:lncRNA from 1 species